UUGGUGUGACCGUCUGACGUCCCUGUCUUUUCGGAGGUGAACAGUUGCUUUUGCAGUGACUUUCUGUCACAUCAGCAGACCCUGUCGCCCAUGCUUCUCGAAAAACGAGCCGACGUCUUCUCUCUCCUUUGACGUGUCAGUCAUCUAUUGGGUGCUUUUCCUGUUUCCUGACGGUCCACUAUCCAUCGCAUUAAAUGCGAUGGGUAUAAAUAGGGGGCGGUUAUCCCUUUCUUCCUUCAUUCUUGAAUUCUAAGUGUGAUUUUCUCUCUAUCCUUCUCUUGUGUUUUCCCAUCGUUCAUAUUUUCUUGAGUUCAAAUCAUCUUCUUCUUGACCUUUAUCAUGGCUGAGAAGAAUCCAACUCAGAAGAAAAGGAAGCAUAGAGGUAGGGCUCCUCCUGGUCCAGACCAAGCCGUUAUUAACUGGAAGGAGGAGGAAUUUCAGAUGCUUGUGAGGGGGAUGAACUUCCGUUCCGAGUGGGGGGCUCAGUACCCUCCUUCUGGAUCUACUGCAUUGGAUGCCCCUCCGGGUUUUAUCACGUUAUAUGUUGCUUAUUUCCGGGAAGGCAAUUUUAGGUUGCCGAUUACGAAGUUCACUGCUGCUGUGUUGAGGGGUUAUGGGCUCCAUAUUUCUCAAAUAAAUGCGAUUGGGCUUCCUCGGAUUACCCAUUUCGAAUUCGUCUGUAGGUCUUACCGUGUUGAUCCUACUUUUUGAGAUGUUUAACGUUUUCUACAGCGUUACGUAUACCAGCGGCUUUUACUCUUUUCAAGCUAGGUCAAGGGUUGCUCCGGUGUGUUCUGUGCCGUUAAAAGGGCAUCCAUGACUGGAAGCAAAAGUUUUUUUAUAUCCGUCGUGGUGUGAUUCCAACAGACAUGUUAUAUCGGCAAGUGAGUCAAGGGAUCUCUAAGGUGGAUGUUCUUCCAAACUAUGGUGCUCAAGACUGGUAUAAGAGGAUAACUGCGAAGCCGACUGCGAUUUCUCAACUGGAUGAGAUGGCUUUAGUUGGUGCGGGGAUGAGUUUGCUGUGGGUGCCCAAACAUCCGCUGGGUCAACCUGCGUAUAGCCAUAAGGGCAAAUUUGGUUACAGUUUGUUGAAUGCCUUGGACCCUAAAUCAGCGGGUGCCAUGGUUGAAGCUAUCCAGGCUGAUGGGCAUCCGACGUGGUUGGAGCAGAUACGGGGUCGGUUUUUGCAUCCUACCGACGAAAGCCUGAGCAGAUAUGCUGAUGAAGUUCUAGGUGAAGAUGUUUGGGAUGACUUUGUCGAUUCGGGUCGAGAGGAAGUUAUCGUCCUUUCUAGUGGGAGUUCUGACCCGAAUGUUGGAGAUCUAACCUCUCAUUACGCGCGUGCAGGUACCGCGCCUGGUGGUGUUGCUGACCCCGUGCAUGAAAUUGUUGACGUAACAAACUUUGCAACCAAUUUCCCAUGAAAAUGCGUAUUAAGCAUGAUUGGUACGAUAAGGUAGCAAAGUGGUUGCAAAUUUUACCCCGUUUAUUUUCGGUGACAAAUUCGUAAGAAACAUAAUGAAAUAAUAAUAAAAAAUAGUAAUGUAUAAAAUGACGGGCAAACACAAUGAAUUGUUACCACUUAGCGGUAGCAAGAUGAAAAUAUAAUUUGGUGGGCGAAUUUUAUGUAGCCCGCCCCUCUCUAAAAUUAGGGUUUUGAUCAUUUUAACCCUUGUCUCUAAAAUUACACCCCCCAUGUCGAAGAACCACUCUGAUAAAAAUCUCUGACCAUAUCGAGACUCUUCAAAUUUGUACCAGUUCGCUCGCCGUGAUAUAGAUCUUGAUCGUACUGGUAUGCUCUUACAGUUAUGUAAGCCAAUCUUAUAUAUGUGUUUAAGUUUGAUUUUGUUCUGGAAUUCUCUCAAUUAUUGUAUGAUUUGAUACAUGAUUGUUGGUAUUUUACUUCUAUGAUACUUACAACUCCCGUUAUCUUACCUUCCGCCGCCGCCGCUAAGGCCGCCGGGAUCACCUUCUAAACAGUGCCACACUUUCCUUUUUUCCUCACAGGUUGCCAUUAAGAAAAUGAAGAGAAAAUAUUAUUCGUGGGAAGAAUGCAUAAAUUUGAGAGAAGUCAAGAUUGAAACGUUGAACUUGGUUAUCAAGGAGCUCGCUAAGGAAAAUAAUGAAGAAAAAGAAAUGUAAAAUGAAAUUGUUGGCUGAAAAAGAUAAAGUGGAUGAAGAUGCUAGAGUUACGAUUCGAAGAUAGGCUAUAAACACUUGGUUUUGAAGGUUUCGAUGUUUAUUAUAUAACGAUAGUUUCGGUUACUUGAUAUUUUAGUUUGUAUUUUUGUUAGAAUGUUUUAUGACUUUGAAAUAGGAAAUACUGAAAUAGAGAUGUUUUGUAUAAUUUUAUGAUUUUGUAAUUUUAUGGAAUGUUUUAUAUAAA